UGGGGGGCCUACGGGAGGCAGCAGUGGGGAAUAUUGCACAAUGGGCGAAAGCCUGAUGCAGCGACGCCGCGUGAGGGAUGACGGCCUUCGGGUUGUAAACCUCUUUCAGCAGGGAAGAAGCGAAAGUGACGGUACCUGCAGAAGAAGCGCCGGCUAACUACGUGCCAGCAGCCGCGGUAAUACGUAGGGCGCGAGCGUUGUCCGGAAUUAUUGGGCGUAAAGAGCUCGUAGGCGGCUUGUCGCGUCGGUUGUGAAAGCCCGGGGCUUAACCCCGGGUCUGCAGUCGAUACGGGCAGGCUAGAGUUCGGUAGGGGAGAUCGGAAUUCCUGGUGUAGCGGUGAAAUGCGCAGAUAUCAGGAGGAACACCGGUGGCGAAGGCGGAUCUCUGGGCCGAUACUGACGCUGAGGAGCGAAAGCGUGGGGAGCGAACAGGAUUAGAUACCCUGGUAGUCCACGCCGUAAACGGUGGGCACUAGGUGUGGGCGACAUUCCACGUCGUCCGUGCCGCAGCUAACGCAUAAGUGCCCACG
rnacentral:rRNA from 1 species